GACACAGAUGGCCAGGGUCUAUGUCUCCGGGUCACCCUUGGCUCCUUUUUCCCGGGAGAAACUCUGUCAAACAGGUAACUGGGAGCCUGCAUGGGCCAGCUGCCCUCCUGCAGUGCCUGGACCUGCUCUGCUGCACGGCCCAGCCAGGCCAGCCGCUGGUGAAGCAUGGCUCAGCUGAGGUUCUGCUGGCCCCAAGUUCCAACCACAGUUGGUGGGCCAGGCUGGCUCUCCUCAGCUUUGGGUAGAGCCAAGCCGGGCCUCGUUCCGGCCGUGACCUGGCGAGCCAUCCUGCUGGCACUGCAGGAGAUCAUGUGGGAGAACAGAGAAAACAGAGGCAGUCCUGCAGACCCCGCAGAAAGCAGCCCCAUGGAUGGAACUGAACUCAGCAGGGGCUGGGAAACAGCCGUGCAACCAGAGUGGCCCCAGCCCAGCAGGGAUCAUGUGGCCAUCGGCAGGCUUGGGCAAGAUACUAACUCCUUCAAGUGCACAAAUGAAACUUAUAGAUAUCAAUCCUCUCCUGAGUCAGAGGAAAGGAAAAAGUGAAGCCACAUGAAGAGAACAUAGAGUCACCAAAGUCAGUGAAGAAGGAAGAGCCGAAGUCCAGAGGAAGGAGAAAGAGGAGAUGCUUCAAACUUAAGAGCUGAAAUUCUUUUGUAAGGCCAUGGUGAUGGACUAUGAUAGACUAGAAUAUACCUGUAAUUCAUGAAAAUCAUGGGGGUGGUGGGGCAUUUAAACUGUAGACAUGAGCAAAGGCAUCAGUGCUGAAGCAAGCAGAUGUUGAAGUAGCUGUGAUCCAAUGAGAAGCUUGAACAGCGAGAGAUAAGACUGCUGAAGAUCUUUGCCCCCCAGGGCAGAAGAGGAAGACCUCUGUUCCCAGAGAUGAAGAUGAUCUUAGAGAUGGAUAAAGAGAACCUUUGCUUUUGAACAGCUCAUUCUUAAAAUUGUACCCAUUAGCCAAAGACUGAGCCCUCAAAACCAGUUUUGGAGAAAGCUGUAUGUCGAGGGGAGAGAUUUUCACACGGUGAGUAGAUUUCCAUCUCCCGCUUGGCUGAUUCACUGUGUCCUUGAAGCCAUGAGAGAACUGUUUCUUGUGGAGAGGUUUCCAUGGCAUGGCAAGAGACAGUCCUCUACCUAAGUGAACUGAAGAAGGACUAUUUUAGAGAUGGUAAACGGACUGAAAGUCACAAGUCACAGGUUUUGUCUCUUUACAUUGCCAGUGGGAAAGAAAUGAGGAGGUGGGGGGAGGAGAAGCAUUCUGAAGGUUUAUUCGGAUUCUUAUUAUUCUCUUUUUAGUUCUGUUAAUAAAGCUUUCUUUAUACCCUUUAAAGUUUUGAGUCUACUUUUGCCCUUCUCCUAAUCCUUAUCUCAUGGCAGAAAAUUAAUUUUGCUAGCAUUCGACCCACUACACUAUUGAAAUGUUAAAAAAGCGCACAGCUUUCUUGUUUCCCAGGUGACUUUUUAAGUACCAGAUACUUAUAUAGAUACUCAGUGUCACAGUGGUGAUAGUGGUUUGCCUCCUUUUUUCUUCACUGGAUAGAGAACACAUCCCCAGUUUUGCAAAAUUUAAUCUUUCUUUAACCAAACCUUCACCAAUAUUCUACUGUUUUCAUUUCUGUCUGGGUGAAUGUACCACUUGUCAGGGAAUAUAAUCUCAGAGCUCUGUGUUUAGUCCAAGGCUAGGCUGCUUCUUCCAUCAACAGAGGAAAAAACCCCUUUGUGUCAUCCUAAUGUGGGUAAACUCUUUUACUGGCCAUAAAGGGAACUGAACAGAUUGGUUGGGAGAAAACAUGCUGGCUUACUGGUAGAGUCUAACCUUCAGUGAACCAAUAAUGAGCUUUCAGAGUCACAGCUAGGCUGACACUGACAGUCUUAAAACAACUCUUUUGCUUGUAGUUUAACAAAAAAAAAAAAAUAGAGUAACUUUGUAAAUUCAUAUUCUAUACAUCAAAAUUAGGUCUUGAGAGACUUGAGUGUAAAAGACUUGUGAUUGUUGCAGUCUUUCCAUAUCUUUUCACUGUGCUAAUGAGAGUUGCAGCAUUGGAUCCAGGAGGUAAUAAUGCAAUGAAACCACCUCCCACUUUAUCUUAUGGCUAACUCAGCCAUGUUGCAGCUCAGCCCUUCCCUCUCUCCUCUGUAAUGCAAAGGAAAGCAGCUCCUUAAACUGAUCAUCUCAGUGGCUUUGGUUGAACCUGCAGGGAAAGAAGCCUGCCUUUGACAUUUUUCAGCAAUGACUUAAAUAUCUGUGAGCCAUGUUUGUUUAUUUUUGGGUUAAAAAACUGAACAGAGAGGUAGGAGAGCUGGGAUCCAUUUCUGGCUCUGCUAGAGGCUUCCUUUGUGCUUGAUAAAAGGUGAUAAUCCUCCCUCUACACAAGAGUGGUCAGUCUCUGCAAUUCAAGCUAUGCAGGAACUGUGUAUUGGGAUGCAUUCAUGCCGAAUAAGAAGAUUGUUUUCAAUUUUCAUUAAGUCUGCUACAUACUUCCAGAAUAUUUAUGGCUGCAUAUAAUAAAGGAAUGCUUUGCAAAAAAUUUGUUUUGCUUUCCAAAUUUAGUUAUAAAAAGCCCUCAGACCACUAAAGGAAAUUACUAGACACUUCUCCCAGUAUUUCCUAUCCAUUCCAAGAUUCACCAAAAAUGAAGUCAUACAAUAGGGUGGUUGUUAUAAGAUGAUUUGGCCAUGGUCUUCCAGAGAGCUCUACUUUUAUUUUUAGAGGACUAUAUAGAAGAAAAUAUCCAUCACUGGUUGCAUUCUUGUGUUCUGUAAGUUUGUGUUACUUCAUGAUAUAAAUUUCUCUUUUUUCACCAGUAAGAAAUAGAGUAUCUUCAGUAUUGAAGAUUCUGGUAGGAAAAUUGUAACCCCUGAAAUUCAGAAAAAAGUAUUCUACUUUGGCUGAUUUGAAUCAAAGAUUGAACUUUUUAUUUUGUUAAACUACAACAAAAUGCUUUUUUUACCACUAUUUGUUCUGAAGCAACAUGUCUUGCUUAUGACACAAUCCUUCAUGAUAAAUAUGUCUCAAUGCUCCAUUAAUAUCCAGGCUAUUCUUUGAAGAUAGAAUUUCCCAUCAUGUGUCUCGAUCUCUUUCUGAUCAAAUAAUCUGCUUCGUCAUGGAAAUUUCACAAGGCUGUGUGCCCCAGGGUAGAUGUAGCAUGCUGUACAAGAAUGUUUUAUAGCACAAGCUGUGUUUACGCAUACUCUACCUAGAAUCCCAUAAGCAAGGUACCACUAUAGAAAAAUAUAGUUUAACCUUAAAUUUACUUAAAAUUAAUUGUAUUUUAAUCACCAAAAUUGAGAUUUUUUUUUUUUUAGCUUUUGUCCAACUUUGGGAUAAAAACAAAGCGUGAAAGACAGGUAUUUCCCAUGAAUUCUUCAGUAUGACUUCACGCACUCACUGCUUUUAAAGACAAAAAGGAACAUAUGCAGACUUAGGAAUGAUAUUUGGAAGUGAGAUGAGGAGCAAAAAAAAAUAGCAGUAGCCUUAUAUUACAGUUAUAGCAACAUUUUUCAAUAUUAGGGUAAGACCAAGUCAGCCAAAUGCACAGAAAGGAGAAGUUGCUAUUAUUGUAGGUGUCAUUACUAAUUGCCAUGUCACUAUGCAAACAUGGAACAGCUGAGAGCUAUCAUACAUCUUCCUCUUAGGUGAUACAAUGAAAAGGCUUUUGCUUCCAUUCUACUCAUUCCUGGUCCAGAUAAGCUGACUUAAUUAGGUUCUUAGUAACAUUUAAUUUCAGAAAUGACAGACUUUACUCAUGUGGGAUAUUAAAAUUUCAUGGGAUUUGCCUUAAGCAUAAAUUCAAGAUUUGAAUCUCAACACUUAACAGAAGUCGAUAUAUACUGAGGGGAAAGUACCUGAUACAUACAGGAAACAUGAGCCUAUGGCUCUCUUUUUCCACAAGCUAUCCCCAUCCAUGUCCUGACUGACCUGUGUUGGUUUUUUUUUGGUCUUUCUUCAGUGGUUUUUGUCUUACAGUCUACCAACAAGGGGAAAUAAGCUGCAAGGCCAAGAGCGGGAAGCUUUUUUUCAGAAAGUCCAGUUAUGUCAAGCGGCAAGAAUCUCAGCUUUUCCCACAAGCUCACGCUCACUGGUCCACCCCAAAGCAUCACUGAAUGGCUGGUGCUCUGGGAAAAGGAUCCAGUGGAGAUUCUGCUUAAUUUGGGGUUUGGUGCAGAAGAACCUGAUGUCCGCGCAAAAAUCCCUCCUCGGUUCCUCAGUGGUAUUUCUGUCGCAAAAGGACUUGACGUCCAAGCCUUUUUGGAAGCUCAGAAGAAGCAGGUGGACACUGAGAGGCCAAACCUAUAUGUGUCCUAUAUGAAGAAAAGACUUGGAGUGGAGCCAGCAGCGGGUGCAACUUGCACAGUGCCAGCAGCAGAGGCCACAUGACCAAUACAGAGAGAAGCAUGACGAGUGAUUCUCCAAUUGUGGAGCCUGGAUAAGAUUAACCUUUCAGUGCUACAGAGCUCUAUAAAAACUGUUUCAAUUGAUAGAACUUGAGAACAAACAAACCUACAAACACCAAUUUUCUCCUGAGUCAGAGAAAAGGAAAAAGUGAAGACACGUGAGGAGAACAAUGUGGCGACACUAAUGUUUGGUGCAAAAGAGGGAAGGAGAGGAGGAGGUUCUUUGAGCAUUGGAGCUGAGAUUCUUCUGCAAGCCGUGGUGAGGACUAUAUACAUCAAACUGUUUCCCUGUAAUUCAUGGAGUGUAUGGGGGAUGCAGCAUUCACAGCCCAUGAGGAAAAGGCACUCAUGCUGAAACAUGUGGUUGCUGAAAAGCUGUGAUCUGGUGAGAGGCUUGAACAGAGAGAAAGAAAGUCCUUGCUUUCAGAAAUAGCGGAAGAGGAUCCUUGCUUUUAUACUAGAACAGCUCAUCCCUAAAAACUGCAGCCCAUAAGCUAAAUGGCCCAUGAAAAGCAGUUGUGGGAAGACUACAAGCCGUGGGAGGGACUUCAUGUUGCAAGCAGGUUCCAGGCAGACUGUUAGCUGUGAAAAUUAAAACCACGUUGGAAAAGUUCACAGAGAACUGUUUCCCAUAGGAAAGACACCAUGGAAUAGCAAAAGAGAUUCCUCUCCCUAAGUGAACAGAAAAAAUAUUUUAGAAGUCUCAAACUAACUAAAAAUGCCAUGUUUUGUCUCCCUGCGCUGUCGGUGAGAAGGAAAGAAGGGCAGAGGGUGGGAGGAAAGGUGUUCUAAUGGUUUAUUUUUAGUUUUCAUUGUCCUCUUUUAAUUCUGUUAAUAAAAUUUCUUUAUACCUUUUGAAGUUUUAAGCCUGUUUUGCCCUUAAAGUAUAAUCCUUAUCUUAUCCCGUGAAUUUUCUUUCUCCCUCCUCUGCUUAACUAUAGGAGAGGAAAAUGAAAAA